rnacentral:rRNA from 1 species
GCUUGGCCCUAAACCUCAAUAGUUAAAAUAACAAAACUAUUCGCCAGAAUACUACAAGCAACAGCUUAAAACUCAAAGGACUUGGCGGUGCUUCAUACCCCCUAGAGGAGCCUGUUCUGUAAUCGAUAAACCCCGAUCCACCCCACCCUCUCUUGCUUAGUCUAUAUACCGCCAUCUUCAGCAAACCCUGAUGAAGGCUACAAAGUGAGCGCAAAUGCCCUUUCCCCGCAAAAACGUUAGGUCAAGGUGUAACCUAUGAGACGGUAAAAAUGGGCUACAUUUUCUACUCCAGAAAACCCCACGAUAGCUCUUAUGAAAUCUAAGAGCCCAAGGAGGAUUUAGCAGUAAAUUAAGAAUAGAGUGCUUAAUUGAACUAGGCCAUAAAGCACGC